rnacentral:tRNA from 1 species
GGACAGUUGGCUGAGUCUGGUUUAAGGCAGUCGCCUCGAAAGCGACCGACUCUAACGGGUCCGGGAGUUCGAAUCUCUCACUGUCCG